AUUGAACGCUGGCGGCAGGCCUAACACAUGCAAGUCGAGCGAGCUGUGGACGGGUGAGUAAUGUAUGGGGACUGCCCGAUCGAGGUGGAUAACUACCGGACAAGAUAGAUAUUACCGAAUAACAUCGCAUAAUCCAUAUGGGAUUAGUUAGUAGGUUGGGUAAUGGCUCACCGAGGCGACGAUCCCUAGCUGGUCUGAGAGGAUGAUCAGCCACACGGGGACUGAGACACGGCCCAGACUCCUACGGAGGCAGCAGUGGGGAAUAUUGCACAAUGGGGGCAAGCCUGAUGCAGCCAUGCCGCGUGUAUGAAGAAGGCCCUAGGGUUGUAAAGUACUUUCAGUCGGGAGGCGUUACCGACAGAAGAAGCACCGGCUAACUCCGUGCCAGCAGCCGCGGUAAUAC
rnacentral:rRNA from 1 species